AUUGAACGCUGGCGGCAGGCCUAACACAUGCAAGUCGAGCGGAUGAAGGGAGCUUGCUCCUGGAUUCAGCGGCGGACGGGUGAGUAAUGCCUAGGAAUCUGCCUGGUAGUGGGGGAUAACGUCCGGAAACGGGCGCUAAUACCGCAUACGUCCUGAGGGAGAAAGUGGGGGAUCUUCGGACCUCACGCUAUCAGAUGAGCCUAGGUCGGAUUAGCUAGUUGGUGGGGUAAAGGCCUACCAAGGCGACGAUCCGUAACUGGUCUGAGAGGAUGAUCAGUCACACUGGAACUGAGACACGGUCCAGACUCCUACGGGAGGCAGCAGUGGGGAAUAUUGGACAAUGGGCGAAAGCCUGAUCCAGCCAUGCCGCGUGUGUGAAGAAGGUCUUCGGAUUGUAAAGCACUUUAAGUUGGGAGGAAGGGCAGUAAGUUAAAACCUUGCUGUUUUGACGUUACCAACAGAAUAAGCACCGGCUAACUUCGUG
rnacentral:rRNA from 1 species